rnacentral:lncRNA from 1 species
UUGGACAGAUUUUUUGUGAAAACAAAAUCUAUCCCAAGAGUCCUCCUUCUCUCCUAUAAAGGAGGGUUCUUUCCACACACACACCCACAUCUUUUUACACUUUGCACCACUCUAAGAGAAAGAAAAAAAUCAGUUGAAAUAUCAAAAGAAUUAAGCUGAAAUUUGAGAGCUUUGAGUGAAUUUUUUGAGAGCUAAGAAUCUUCCCAAAAAAAAAAUACAAAGUCCUUGAGGUCAUUUGUGGUUUCUUUCUCCUUUGAAAGUCGAUGAGUUUCUGGAUUAAUUUUCUGGAUCAUUUCAGGUUUCUUGUUGCUGGUUUGUUGUUUCUUGGAGCUGCUAGUUCGAAAGUCCACCUUGUACAUUUCUCUAUUGCUUCUUAGCACUUUCUGCAAACUAGGUAACCUUUUAAAUUAUGUAAUGCUAUUUUAACUCUAAGAAUGAAAGAUAUGAAUGCUUCGAGUUGAUCCCAUAUUUCUUUAAGCAUGUUAUGAGUGAGUUAGAUAUAUUUGUAUUAAAAACUACACAGAGGUAAUAUUAUAUAUGGCUCUUUGUCUGUGACAUGAAUCUAUGUGAGUUAAAGAGCAACUAAAAUUAAAAGAAGAAUAACGCAGGUGUUAAGAAUUUAUAAAAAUUGUAAGUCAAGCAUGAUUGUAUGAAACAAAAAAAUUGUAAUUGCGGUGUCACUUUCUACUCUUGUUUCUACCGUUGUCUCAGCAAGUCUACUGGGGCUUCGUUAAAAUAUUAAAGCAUGCAAAAAGAUCCAUCUCCUCUUUCUGAUGCACGAAUUAGUGGAGUCUAGGUUCAACGUAAUGAGUUUCCCACAUGAAUUCUCUUUUUGUUGGUCACUUCUUUUACAAAUCGUGUAUGUUUUAUUUUAGCUUGCUAAAAUUUUGCAUUGAGAAUGAUACCUUCAGAUAAAAUAAAAGAAAAAUAAGGCAUUGAAUUUAUCUAUACUUCAAGUUCUUUACUAUAAUGUUUCAUGCUCAAAGUUUCCACUCUCAUGUGUUCAAGUGCAAAUUAAAAUCGCGCAAGUACUUUUGUGAUUAUCAUUUAUGCCAGUGUUUCUUCGGCCUAGAUUCAUCUGCAUACCUGUCUCAAUAUGUAUUAGUGUCGCUAAUAAAGAGAGAUGAAAUCAGUUCAUGGGUAAUUUUAAGGAAGUUCACACAUAGGCCUAGAUUAGAAAAUGGUUAGAUAGAAGAGGGAAUAACAAGAGAAUGAAUGGCUUUGAAUAACCGCUAGUCUUAAUGUUUUUAAUUUACCGAUCAUGUGAUGGUUUAGAAGAAUAUUCUUUCAUACGUUAUGAUUUUGUCAAACAUUUCAUUCCAGAAUCUUUCAAAAAUCAUAAUUAAAAGGCGUAAUACAUACGAAGACACCUAAAGUUGGCACAAUCUUUCACUUAGACACUUAAACUAGGCCUCUUUCCAAUUAAACACGUUUCUUAGGCAAUUCUCAUACCAAUUAGACAUGUUUUUUGCUGGCUUAUUAAUUAACCAAGCGCGUGUUCUGCAAUAUCCGUCUACGUGGCAAAAGUAACCAUUAUAAAUCGUGCCACAUCAUUUUUUGUCCACCUCACUAUCUACCUCAGCUAUAUAGUGUUAUUUUCACUAAAAUACAAAUACCCCUUCGUCCCCAACCUCCAACGUUCCCCCACCCGCCGAUGUCUCCAAUCCCGUAGCCGACAUCACCCCUGCUCCCUCUUCGUUGUCCAAUUUUUGUCGUCUGAUCUCGUCUGGCAAGCGGCGUCAAACAGAUCCAAACUCCAAAGCCUAAAGUUCAUAAAACCCAUUUAUCAAACUCCUUAAUGAAGCCAAGAAUUUCUGCAAAAAUAUCAAAAUUACAUAACAAUGGCCAAGUAAUUUUAUUCUAUUUAUUAGGAUGUUGGUCUCAUUUGUUCACCACUUUUUAGUUGUCUUUGUUUGAGAUUGAUAGUUCUGCUUGAUGAUUUUUUUCCUGCAGCUUUAUUUACUUUUUGGUAUUAUGGCAAUGAAAUAUUAUGGUGGUUGGAGGAGAAGUUUUGGUGAGAUUUUUGGAAUUGGGGGUUGGUGAUGAUAAAUAAAAAAUGGUUGCUGCUAGGUAAUUUAUGAGGAGAAGAUGACUUAUUGGAGUAUUAUUACGGAGGACGAAGGUUUAAGAUAGUGGAGGAGCUGAUAUGGUGGAAAAAUGGAGAAGAUGAUGGAACACAGUUUGUUUUUUGGGUGGGUGGGGAGAUUUAGUGAAAAUAGGGUUUUUUGUGGUCAAAUGCCUUUUUAAUAUUUAAUUAAUUGAAAAAUAC